UACGAAGGGUGCAAGCGUUAAUCGGAAUUACUGGGCGUAAAGCGCACGUAGGCGGAUAUUUAAGUCAGGGGUGAAAUCCCAGAGCUCAACUCUGGAACUGCCUUUGAUACUGGGUAUCUUGAGUAUGGAAGAGGUGAGUGGAAUUCCGAGUGUAGAGGUGAAAUUCGUAGAUAUUCGGAGGAACACCAGUGGCGAAGGCGGCUCACUGGUCCAUUACUGACGCUGAGGUGCGAAAGCGUGGGGAGCAAACAGG
rnacentral:rRNA from 1 species